GGGCCGGUAGUUCAGCGGUAGAAUCGAAAGAUAUACUCCCAUAAGGUCGGGAGUUCAAUUCUCCUCCGGUCCA
rnacentral:tRNA from 2 species